ACGCUGGCGGCGUGCCUAACACAUGCAAGUCGAACGGGAAUCUUCGGAUUCUAGUGGCGGACGGGUGAGUAACGCGUAAGAAUCUAACUUCAGGACGGGGACAACAGUUGGAAACGACUGCUAAUACCCGAUAUGCCGCAAGGUGAAACCUAAUUGGCCUGGAGAAGAGCUUGCGUCUGAUUAGCUAGUUGGUGGGGUAAGAGCCUACCAAGGCGACGAUCAGUAGCUGGUCUGAGAGGAUGAGCAGCCACACUGGGACUGAGACACGGCCCAGACUCCUACGGGAGGCAGCAGUGGGGAAUUUUCCGCAAUGGGCGAAAGCCUGACGGAGCAACGCCGCGUGAGGGAGGAAGGUCUUUGGAUUGUAAACCUCUUUUCUCAAGGAAGAAGUUCUGACGGUACUUGAGGAAUCAGCCUCGGCUAACUCCGUGCCAGCAGCCGCGGUAAUACGGGGGAGGCAAGCGUUAUCCGGAAUUAUUGGGCGUAAAGCGUCCGCAGGUGGUCAGCCAAGUCUGCCGUCAAAUCAGGUUGCUUAACGACCUAAAGGCGGUGGAAACUGGCAGACUAGAGAGCAGUAGGGGUAGCAGGAAUUCCCAGUGUAGCGGUGAAAUGCGUAGAGAUUGGGAAGAACAUCGGUGGCGAAAGCGUGCUACUGGGCUGUAUCUGACACUCAGGGACGAAAGCUAGGGGAGCGAAAGGGAUUAGAUACC
rnacentral:rRNA from 1 species